AUUGAACGCUGGCGGCAGGCCUAACACAUGCAAGUCGAGCGAGCGGCGGACGGGUGAGUAAUGUAUUGGGAUCUGCCCAAUCGAGGGGUAUAACUACUGGCACCGGUGGCUAAUACCGCAUACUAUCCUAUGACACCCUAUGGGAUUAGCUAGUAGGUGGGGUAAAGGCUCACCUAGGCGACGAUCUCUAACUGGUCUGAGAGGAUGAUCAGCCACACUGGGACUGAGACACGGCCCAGACUCCUACGGGAGGCAGCAGUGGGGAAUAUUGCACAAUGGGCGCAAGCCUGAUGCAGCCAUGCCGCGUGUAUGAAGAAGGCCUUAGGGUUGUAAAGUACUUUCAGCGGGGAGGCGUUACCCGCAGAAGAAGCACCGGCUAACUCCGUGCCAGCAGCCGCGGUAAUAC
rnacentral:rRNA from 1 species